rnacentral:rRNA from 1 species
GACGAACGCUGGCGGCGUGCAUGAGACAUGCAAGUCGAACGGACGGACCGGUUCGCCGGUCCGUUAGUGGCGGACGGCUGAGUAACGCGUAGGUGACCUGCCCCGAAGUGGGGAAUAACUGCCCGAAAGGGUGGCUAAUACCGCAUGUGGUCGCACGUUCGGUCGUGCGAGUAAAGCCGCAAGGCGCUUCGGGAGGGGCCUGCGUCCGAUUAGCUCGUUGGUGGGGUAAUGGCUCACCAAGGCGACGAUCGGUAGGUGGUCUGAGAGGACGAUCACCCAGACUGGGACUGAGACACGGUCCCGACUCCUACGGGGGGCAGCAGUGAGGAAUAUUGGGCAAUGGGCGAAAGCCUGACCCAGCAACGCCGCGUGGAGGAUGAAGGCUUUAGGGUUGUAAACUCCUUUUGUGGGGGAAAAGAAUGGAUGGUACCCCAAGAAUAAGUCACGGCUAACUACGUG